UACGGAGGGGGCGAGCGUUAUUCGGAAUUAUUGGGCGUAAAGGGUGCGUAGGCGGCGCAGAAAGUAGGGUGUGAAAUCCCUCGGCUCAACCGAGGAACUGCGCCCUAAACUACUGUGCUCGAGGGAGGUAGAGGUGAGCGGAACUUAGGGUGGAGCGGUGAAAUGCGUUGAUAUCCUAAGGAACACCGGUGGCGAAAGCGGCUCACUGGACCUCUUCUGACGCUGAGGCACGAAAGCUAGGGUAGCGAACGGG
rnacentral:rRNA from 1 species